rnacentral:sRNA from 1 species
CCUUCUGAUUGAGUACAGUACCUGAAUUUUGGCUGACGCUGAGCUCUGUAACUAUGUGCAGCGAGGAUCCUAACAAUUUGUUUUGAUUGCUAAGCGCCCAUUUCCUGCUGAUUUUUCUUCAAUUUUCAGUAGAUAUUAGAAUGUUGUGAACAAUAUAACACCACUGGUGCCCCUGGCUAAAGCAGAAGUAUAUCAUUGUUUUCUUUUGUACGUGUGACUUAUAUACAUCCU